rnacentral:rRNA from 1 species
GUUUGAUUCUGGCUCAGGAUGAACGCUGGCGGCAUGCCUAAUACAUGCAAGUCGAACGGAGUGAAGCCUUCGGGUUUCAUUCAGUGGCGAACGGGUGAGUAAUACGCAGGGAACCUGGCCAUGGCAGGGGGAUACACUCUGGAAACGGAGCAUAAGACCCCAUAGGCAGUAAGGCGGCAUCGCCUUACUGUUAAAGAAAGCUGAAAGGCUCUGGCGAUGGAUGGACCUGCGGUGCAUUAGCUUGUUGGUGAGGCAACGGCUUACCAAGGCGAUGAUGCAUAGCCGGCCUGAGAGGGCGGACGGCCACACUGGGACUGAGGCACGGCCCAGACUCCUGCGGGAGGCAGCAGUAGGGAAUUUUCGUCAAUGGGCGCAAGCCUGAACGAGCAAUGCCGCGUGAGUGAGGAAGGUCUUCGGACUGUAAAGCUCUGUUGCCGGGGAAAAAGGGGAAAUGCAGGAAAUGGCAUUUCAUGGAUGGUACCCGGCCAGAAAGCCACGGCUAACUACGUGCCAGCAGCCGCGGUAAUACGUAGGUGGCGAGCGUUAUCCGGAAUGAUUGGGCGUAAAGGGUGCGCAGGCGGUCUGUUAAGUCUGAAGGCAAAGGGAUGAGCUCAACUCAUUUAUGAUUCAGAAACUGGCAGACUUGAGGACAGGAGAGGGCGGUGGAACUCCAUGUGUAGCGGUAAAAUGCGCAGAGAUAUGGAAGAACACCAGUGGCGAAGGCGGCCGCCUGGCCUGUGACUGACGCUGAGGCACGAAAGCGUGGGGAGCAAAUAGGAUUAGAUACCCUAGUAGUCCACGCCGUAAACGAUGAGGAGCAGGUGUUGGGAGUGAAAUCUCAGUGCCGAAGCCAACGCAGUGACUCCUCCGCCUGGGGAGUAUGCACGCAAGUGUGAAACUCAAAGGAAUUGACGGGGGCCCGCACAAGCGGUGGAGUAUGUGGUUUAAUUCGAAGCAACGCGAAGAACCUUACCAGGUUUUGACAUCGGAUGCGAAGGCGCAGAGAUGCGCUGGAGGCUAUCAUCCAGACAGGUGGUGCAUGGUUGUCGUCAGCUCGUGUCGUGAGAUGUUCAGUUAAGUCUGGCAACGAGCGCAACCCCCGUGGUAUGUUACUAACGCAUUUGGGCGAGGACUCAUAUCAGACUGCCGGUGACAAACCGGAGGAAGGCGGGGAUGACGUCAAAUCAUCAUGCCCCUUAUGACCUGGGCUACACACGUACUACAAUGGCGUCUACAGAGGGAAGCGACCCUGAGAAGGGAAGCGAAACCGGAAAAGGGCGUCCCAGUUCGGAUUGAAGUCUGCAACCCGACUUCAUGAAGAUGGAAUCGCUAGUAAUCGCGGAUCAGCAUGCCGCGGUGAAUACGUUCCCGGGCCUUGUACACACCGCCCGUCAAACCAUGGAAGCCGGCAACGCCCGAAGCCGGUGGCAUAACCUUUUAGGAGUGAGCCGUCGAAGGCGGGGCCGAUGACUGGGGUUAAGUCGUAACAAGGUAUCC